GGGUAAUUAGUGUAAUGGUAACAUGCGUGACUGUCUAUCACGCGCCACGAGUUCGAUUCUCGUAUUACCCGCCA
rnacentral:tRNA from 1 species